rnacentral:rRNA from 1 species
AUGACCAAGAAGGCCUCUGUGGAAUGCAACUUCUGCCAUGGUGUUUACAUUGGUGGUAUUACUCGAAUGAAGUACCACCUUGCAAAUGUCAAGGUUCAAAAUGUCGUUUUGUGCCAACAAAUUCCAGCUAAUGUGAAGCAAGAGAUGAGGGAGCUGAUCUCAAGGAAAGAUGAAGCAAAGGAAAAGAAGGCCAGGGAAUCAGCAAUACGCAGAAGUGACGUCAAUUUGGAUGGAAAUGAUGCUAGGGCUGCUGAUGAAGAUCACAUCUUGGGUGGUGGUAGUGGGGGUGGUCUGCUUGUAUUAUCAGGGAAACGACAGAGUAAGGGCAACACAUAUGGUUCUAUGGAUAAGUUUUGCACCAAGUCAACAGAAGAGGUUGUGGCCGCAAGGAAGGGGGAAGGCUUUUCUACAAAGUUGCAAAGUUGUCCACUCAAAGAAGGGAAGAGAGGAGGGUCCGUGCUUAGCAAGAAGAAAGUCGAGGAAGGAUUUGCUGGACAUAAAGAAGCAUGGAAGCUCACUGGAUGUACCGUCAUGAAAGAUGCAUGGAUAGACAAAAGAGGAAGGGGAGUGAUGAAUUUGGUAGUUCAUAGUGCCUAUGGUGUUGUUUUUGUUGAUUCUGUGGACUGUUCAAAUGUGAGAAAAGAUGGCAAGAUGAUAUUUGAUCUUGUUGAUAGAUGCAUACAAGAAAUUGGGGAGAAGAAUGUCGUUCAAAUUGUAACGGAUAAUGCCUCAGUCAAUAUAGCAGCAGCAACAAUGAUGAAAGUGAAGCGUCCCUCCCUAUUUUGGAAUGGUUGUGCAGUCCACACAAUUGAUUUGAUGUUGGAGGACAUAGGGAAGCUUCCUGUAAUCGAACAAACAAUUGCCAAAGGAAAGGUUGUGACUAUGUUCCUUUAUGCGCAUACAAGAGUUUUGGCAUUGAUGAGAAAAUUUCUUGGAAAAGACCUAGUCCGCUCUGGUAUUACUAGGUUUGCAACAACAUAUUUUAACUUGAAGAGCUUGCAGGACAACAAAAAAGAGCUACAAAAGUUGUCCAGGUCUGAUGAACUCAAUGAAAUGGACCACCUAAAAAAGGCAAAGGGGAAGAACGCAGCUAAAAUCGUUCGCUUUGAAACUUUCUGGAAAGCCGUAGAUACCGCUGUCAAUUUCUUUGAGCCAAUGGCAAAUCUUUUGAGGAGGAUGGAUAGUGAUGUUUCGGCAAUGGGUUUUAUUCAUGGUUGUAUGCUGGAUGCAAAGAAAGAGAUCUCCGUGAGGUUUGACAAUGACAAGUCUCGCUUUCUGGAAGUGUGGGACAUCAUUGACAAGAGAUGGGACAGCAAGUUGAAGACUGCAUUACAUAUGGUUGGAUACUACUUGAACCCAUACUAUUAUUAUCCAAACAAGCUUGAUAUUGAGAUUGAUGGACAAGAAACUAAACAAACACAAGGACCCAUUGAGAAGCAGGUGGUAGAUGUUUUAGAAGAUGAUGAGAAUGAAUGGAUCACUGGUGUAGUGCCAAAUGGUGAUGAAGAACAAGGUGAAGAUCAAGAUCAAGAAAUUCCGUAUGCAAGCUCGCAUGCUGGACCAGGAACUUCUGCUAUUAAUCCACUUAAAAGGAAGAGGGGUGUCUAUGGUAAGAAGAAGAAGAAGAUGAUCCCUGUUACUCCUCAAGAAGAUCUGCUCUCUGCUUCCUCUGCUUCAGAAAGUGAUGACGACGAGGACACCGACAUGAGUUCUGGUUCUCACAUGUGA